GACGAACGCUGGCGGCGUGCUUAACACAUGCAAGUCGAGCGGUAAGGCCCUUUCGGGGGUACACGAGCGGCGAACGGGUGAGUAACACGUGGGUGACCUGCCCUCAGCUCUGGGAUAAGCCUGGGAAACCGGGUCUAAUACUGGAUAUGACUCCAUGACGCAUGUUGUGGGGUGGAAAGCCUUGUGCGGCUGAGGAUGGGCCCGCGGCCUAUCAGCUUGUUGGUGGGGUGANGGCCUACCAAGGCGAUGACGGGUAGCCGGCCUGAGAGGGCGACCGGCCACACUGGGACUGAGACACGGCCCAGACUCCUACGGGAGGCAGCAGUGGGGAAUCUUGCGCAAUGGGCGAAAGCCUGACGCAGCGACGCCGCGUGAGGGAUGAC
rnacentral:rRNA from 1 species